rnacentral:rRNA from 1 species
GACGAACGCUGGCGGCGUGCUUAACACAUGCAAGUCGAACGAUGAAGCCCAGCUUGCUGGGUGGAUUAGUGGCGAACGGGUGAGUAACACGUGAGUAACCUGCCCUGGACUCUGGGAUAACCCCGAGAAAUCGGAGCUAAUACCGGAUAGGACCUUCUCCCGCAUGGGGGUUGGUGGAAAGUUUUUCGGUCUGGGAUGGACUCGCGGCCUAUCAGCUUGUUGGUGAGGUAAUGGCUAACCAAGGCGUCGACGGGUAGCCGGCCUGAGAGGGUGACCGGCCACACUGGGACUGAGACACGGCCCAGACUCCUACGGGAGGCAGCAGUGGGGAAUAUUGCACAAUGGGCGCAAGCCUGAUGCAGCAACGCCGCGUGCGGGAUGACGGCCUUCGGGUUGUAAACCGCUUUUGUCAGGGAAGAAGCCUUUCGGGGUGACGGUACCUGGAGAAAAAGGACCGGCUAACUACGUGCCAGCAGCCGCCGCGGUAA